rnacentral:rRNA from 1 species
AUUGAACGCUGGCGGCAGGCCUAACACAUGCAAGUCGAGCGGCAGCGGGAAAGUAGCUUGCUACUUUUGCCGGCGAGCGGCGGACGGGUGAGUAAUGCCUGGGAAAUUGCCCAGUCGAGGGGGAUAACAGUUGGAAACGACUGCUAAUACCGCAUACGCCCUACGGGGGAAAGCAGGGGACCUUCGGGCCUGGCGCGAUUGGAUAUGCCCAGGUGGGAUUAGCUAGUUGGUGAGGUAAUGGCUCACCAAGGCGACGAGCCCUAGCUGGUCUGAGAGGAUGAUCAGCCACACUGGAACUGAGACACGGUCCAGACUCCUACGGGAGGCAGCAGUGGGGAAUAUUGCACAAUGGGGGAAACCCUGAUGCAGCCAUGCCGCGUGUGUGAAGAAGGCCUUCGGGUUGUAAAGCACUUUCAGCGAGGAGGAAAGGUUGAUGCCUAAUACGCAUCAACUGUGACGUUACUCGCAGAAGAAGCACCGGCUAACUCCGUGCCAGCAGCCGCAGUAAAAC